UACGAACUGUGCGAACGUUAUUCGGAUUCACUGGGCGUAAAGGGUGCGCAGGCGGCCAAGUGUGUUAGGCGUGAAAGCCCGGGGCUUAACCCCGGAAUUGCACCUAAAACUACAUGGCUAGAGCAUUGGAGAGGGUAGCGGAAUUCACGGUGUAGCAGUGAAAUGCGUAGAUAUCGUGAGGAACACCAGAGGCGAAGGCGGCGACCUGGACAGGUACUGACACUCAACUACGAAAGCGUGGGGAGCAAACAGG
rnacentral:rRNA from 1 species